rfam:Caldivirga sp. CIS_19 scf1118685652177, whole genome shotgun sequence.
GGGCCCGUAGCUCAGCACGGUAGAGCGGCGGGCUCCAGGCUGUGAUGGAGAAACCCGUAGGUCGGGGGUUCAAAUCCCUCCGGGCCCA